UGCGCAGGCGGCUCUUUAAGACAGGUGUGAAAUCCCCGGGCUUAACCUGGGAAUUGCGCUUGUGACUGGGGAGCUCGAGAGCGGCAGAGGGGGAUGGAAUUCCUGGUGUAGCAGUGAAAUGCGUAGAUAUCAGGAGGAACACCGAUGGCGAAGGCAGUCCCCUGGGUCGACACUGACGCUCAUGCACGAAAGCGUGGGGAGCAAACAGGAUUAGAUACCCUGGUAGUCC
rnacentral:rRNA from 1 species